rnacentral:rRNA from 1 species
UACAGAGGUCUCAAGCGUUGUUCGGAUUCAUUGGGCGUAAAGGGUGCGUAGGUGGCGGGGUAAGUCAGGUGUGAAAUCUCGGGGCUCAACCCCGAAACUGCACUUGAUACUGCCUUGCUCGAGGUACUGGAGAGGAGAUUGGAAUUUACGGUGUAGCAGUGAAAUGCAUAGAUAUCGAUCAACGAACACCGAUAGCGAAAGGCAGCUUAC